rnacentral:lncRNA from 10 species
CUGUCUCGGUCGCUUCCCCCACUCCCGUUCCCGGGCUUGUAUCAACCCCACCCAGUGGCUACUGCUGUCUGCGCCCGAGGACCUCAUCUCCUCGCAGAGGCUGGCUCCCCGCAUCCCGCAUCCCACACUGGGACACGCCUGUGGCCUUGCCAGGGUGGGCGGGACACGGCCUCUUUCCUUCCUUCCCAUCCAGCGCCGGUGAGGCUCAGCACUCACUGUCUCACUGGCAGCACAGACAAAGCCUUGGGGGCUCCACGGGAUAAUUAAUAGCGAGGACGCCCCCAGGGACCUCCGGAAAGAGACACCAUUGGUUGCAGGCCUCCAGGUUCUCGUCUGCCUGCUAUUGAAUUUUGUGGCAGUGAUUUCUUCAGAAACUGGCUCUUCCCAUCCCCACUCCACCCACAGAGAGGAUGAGCUACAUCCGUGCAGAGCCUGGCACUCCGAAUGCUGGCGGAAUUGAUUCAGUAGCAUGAGCAGGAAGGUCCAUUUGAAGAGAUUACUCCAAAACAGCGGUUCGCAACAAGGGCUUUCUUCCAUGUCCCGUUGGCCAGAGCAGACCCUGGAAAGAAGCCCUCCCCAAGGCGCCUUGUUGACUACGGCCAAGGCCUGGCCCAGUGCUGGACACCAGUCUAUGUGAGUAUAUUUCUGUAAGUCCAUAGUUAUUAGCAGAAUCCCACCCCAGUGUGAGACCUGGUUGUGUUUGACCAGGUCCAUGAAGUGUAGUAGCAGUUGCUCCCAC